UACGUAGGGUGCAGGCGUUAAUCGGAAUUACUGGGCGUAAAGCGCGCGCAGGCGGCCAAUCAAGUCAGGGGUGAAAGCCCGGAGCUCAACUCCGGAAUUGCCUUUGAAACUGAUCGGCUUGAGUACGGGAGAGGUGAGUGGAAUUCCCAGUGUAGAGGUGAAAUUCGUAGAUAUUGGGAAGAACACCGGUGGCGAAGGCGGCUCACUGGCCCGUUUCUGACGCUCAGGCGCGACAGCGUGGGGAUCAAACAGG
rnacentral:rRNA from 1 species